rnacentral:rRNA from 1 species
CCUACGGGAGGCAGCAGUCGGGAAUUUUGGGCAAUGGGCGAAAGCCUGACCCAGCAACGCCGCGUGAAGGAUGAAAUCCCUCGGGAUGUAAACUUCGCAAGAACGGGAAGAAUAAGUAAGGGUUAAUAUCUCUUACGAUGACGGUACUGUUUGUAAGCUCCGGCUAACUCCGUGCCAGCAGCCGCGGUAAUACGGGGGGAGCAAGCGUUGUUCGGAUUUACUGGGCGUAAAGGGCGCGUAGGCGGCCUCUGCAAGUCGACUGUGAAAUCUCCGGGCUUAACCCGGAACGGUCAGCCGAUACUGCAGGGCUAGAGUGCAGAAGGGGCAACUGGAAUUCUCGGUGUAGCGGUGAAAUGCGUAGAUAUCGAGAGGAACACCUGCGGCGAAGGCGGGUUGCUGGGCUGACACUGACGCUGAUGCGCGAAAGCUAGGGGAGCGAA